AGAGUUUGAUUCUGGCUCAGGACGAACGCUGGCGGCGCGCUUAACACAUGCAAGUCGAACGAAGCAUACGGAAGUGCUUGCACAGAAGCAUGACUUAGUGGCGGACGGGUGAGUAACACGUGAGCAACCGAUCCCAGAGAGGGGGACAACUUUGAGAAAUCAAGGCUAAUACCGCGUAAGACCACGCUAUCGGAUGGUAGAGGGGUAAAAGGAGAAAUCCGCUUUGGGGAGGGCUCGCGACUGAUUAGGCAGUUGGUGAGGUAACGGCCCACCAAACCGACGAUCAGUAGCCGUGCUGAGAGGCAGGCCGGCCACACUGGAACUGAGAGACGGUCCAGACUCCUACGGGAGGCAGCAGUGGGGAAUCUUGGGCAAUGGGGGAAACCCUGACCCAGCGACGCCGCGUGAAGGAAGAAAGUCUUCGGAUUGUAAACUUCUGUGACAGGGGAAGAAAAGAAUGACGGUACCCUGAGAGGAAGCCCCGGCUAACUACGUGCCAGCAGCCGCGGUAAUACGUAGGGGGCGAGCGUUGUCCGGAAUUACUGGGCGUAAAGGGCGCGUAGGCGGUGAUAUAAGUCUGUUGUGAAAUACCUAGGCCUAACUUAGGAAGUGCAAUGGGAACUGUAUGACUUGAGUACGGUAGAGGCAAGCGGAAUUCCCGGUGUAGCGGUGAAAUGCACAGAGAUCGGGAGGAACACCGGUGGCGAAGGCGGCUUGCUGGGCCGAAACUGACGCUGAGGCGCGAAAGCGUGGGGAGCACACAGGAUUAGAUUCCCCGGUAGUCCACCCCCCAAACGAUGAAUACUAGGUGUAGGGGG
rnacentral:rRNA from 1 species